GUUUGGAGGCCCAUGCCUGAGGUACCAAGUUCUCCUGAAACUGUACCUCUAUUAUCUCCUGAUGACUUCUCGGGGUGGCUCAAGCUGCCACAGUCCUGGGAUGUGGCUGGUACUCUCCAUAACUGUUUCCUGAGUUUCUCUUCUGUAGGAUUUCCUGCAUUUGACCAGUGGUUUUGGGUCUCAAGUCUGCUCUGGAACCAUGAGGAAACCGUGGUUGCCCAGUGUGAGGUGGACAGUGUCUGUGUCACCACUGCUAAAACUCUUGGGUGCAGAGAAACUUUAAAGCCAUUUCUGGGAAGCCUGUGGUCUUCCCUUUGGCAUUUUGGAGAAAAACAUUUUUGACAAGAACACAAAAUAAUCAAGUUGUGAUCCCCCCAAUUCUGAUCAUACAGCACACUCAAGCCCAUGGAAAACAAUUUAGUGGACACAGUUCUAAAUAAAAUGUCUGAUGGAAGUUCCCUGUUUUGGGGUCAGAGGACAGAAAUGACAUAACUCCUUCUCUACUGUCAAUUAUAAAUAAAAUAAGGUACCUGCUCAUUUAGGUUUUCAUUAUCCUCAUUUUUUACUUAAGAAACCUCAAGACUCAGAAAGGUAUAGUGGCAUCUUUCAGUUAAAUAUCAGGGGAUCGAACUUGGGUUCUUGCACUUGCAGCAGGUGGUGAAACCACUGAGCCAAAUCCCCGGCCCUUGAGGUGUGUACCAGUCAUACUGAGUGCAGAACAGCAAGUUCUACUGCACUGUCCAUCUUCAUCCACCAGGACAGUUUUCUUUUUCUGUCUCUGUCUCCCUCAAGGUGAAAUCUGCAGCAGGCAAAGGGAGCUGAGCACCAUGUGAAACUGAAAACACUUGGUGCCCUGGCUGCUGGAUGUGCUUCAUAUGAUUGAUCAGCUGAGAAGUGGAGAGCAGGCUUUGGCUCUGAGUGCUGAAUGGCUCAUUGCCUCAGUGGCUCCUGUCUUUCUUCAUGUUCAGGAAACAGAAGAUGCAGUUGAACUUUGAGUUAAU
rnacentral:lncRNA from 1 species